rnacentral:rRNA from 1 species
UGAAUACAUUAGCAUGGAAUAAUAAAAUAGGACGGCAUGGUUCUAUUUUGUUGGUUUCUAGGAUCACCGUAAUGAUUAAUAGGGAUAGUUGGGGGCAUUAGUAUUCAAUUGUCAGAGGUGAAAUNCUUGGAUUUAUUGAAGACUAACNNNUGCGAAAGCAUUUGCCAAGGAUGUUUUCNNUAAUCAAGAACGAAAGUUAGGGGAUCGAAGACGAUCAGAUAC